AGGAGCUGUGUGCCUGGAGCGAGGAAGAGUGUCGAAACUUUGAACAUGGCUAUCGAGUUCAUGGGAAGAACUUCCACCUCAUUCAGGCCAAUAAGGUACGCACACGGUCGGUGGGGGAGUGUGUGGAGUAUUACUACAUGUGGAAGAAGUCGGACCGCCAUGAGUACUUUACCCAGCAGACCACCAAGCUGGGUCGCAAGAAGUACAGUCUGCAGUCAGGGAACAUGGAGGAUGGAGAGCAGGAUGGAGAGGUUGGGGAGAUGGAGGGGUGCUCCCAGAUUGAGCCCCACUCACCCCCACCAGUCACGGACCUGGACAAGCAAGAGGAGGAGGGCCGACCCCGUCGCAGACGAACGCCCCGCUUUCUCUUAAAGCCCUGAGCUCACUACACACAGGCCACUCUAACCAGACAGGGCCACCAGGUAAAGAUUCUAACCAGACAGGGCCACCAGGUAAAGAUUCUAACCAGACAGGGCCACCAGGUAAAGACUCUAACCAGACAGGUCCACCAGGUAAAUACUCUAAUCAGGCAGGGCCACCAGGUAAAGAUUCUAACGGCAGACAGGCCCCAGGUAGAGACUCUAAUCAGGCAGGACCACCAGGUAAGAUCCUAACCAGACAGGGCCACCAGGUAAAGAUUCUAACCAGGUUGGGCCACCAGGUAAGAUCAACCAACAGGGCCACCAGGUAAAGACUCUAACCAGACAGGUCCACCAGGUAAAUACUCUAAUCAGGCAGGGCCACCAGGUAAAGACUCUAAUCAGGCAGGGCCACCAGGUAAAGACUCUAUCCAGGCAGGGCCACCAGGUAAAGAUUCUAUCCAGGUUGGGCCACCAGGUAAAGAUUCUAACCAGGCAGGGCACCAGAUAAAGAUUCUAUCAGGCGGGCCACCAGGUAAUUCUAAUAGGCAGGGCCACCAGGUAAAGACUCUAAUCAGGCAGGGCCACCAGGUAAAGACUCUAAUCAGGCAGGGCCACCAGGUAAAGACUCUAUCCAGGCAGGGCCACCAGGUAAAGAUUCUAUCCAGGUUGGGCCACCAGGUAAGAUUCUAACAGGCAGGGCCACCAGAUAAAGAUUCUAAUCAGGCAGGGCCACCAGGUAAAGAUUCUAAUCGGCAGGGCCACCAGGUAAAGACUCUAAUCAGGCAGGGCCACCAGGUAAAGACUCUAACAGGCAGGGCCGCCAGGUAAAGAUUCUAACCAGGUGGGCCACCAGGUAAAGACUCUAACCAGACAGGCCACCAGUAAAGACUCUAACCAGGUUGGGCCACCAGGUAAAGACUCUAACCAGACAGGUCCACCAGGUAAAGACUCUAACCAGACAGGGCACAAGGUAAAGACUCUAACCAGGCAGGGCCCCCAGGUAAAGAUUCUAAUCAGGCAGGGCCACCAGGUAAAGACUCUAAUCAGGCAGGGCCACCAGGUAAAGACUCUAAUCAGGCAGGGCCACCAGGUAAAGACUCUAACCAGGCAGGGCCACCAGGUAAAGACUCUAACCAGGCAGGGCCACCAGGUAAAGACAGACAGAUAGAGGGAUGGAGUGAGGGAGGUCUGGGGACAAGCUUCACUAACCCUACCUAGCUUAUACUAACCCCACUGGAGUGCUUGAUAUGAGGUCCAAGUUUCAUGUGGUCAGAACUAGAGGGUCUUUUCCAAAAUACUUUUGAGGGCAUUAUGAUUCUCAGGCCAGGAAGUUGAAGGUAUGAAAUAUAAAAUACUAAACCAUAAUCAAAUCUUAGGGCUCAUGAAAAUGAUUUUAUUGGAGGCUUAGCAUUUUAGAAAUGUUGUAUUGGCUUCCUCUCAAUACUUUCUGAAUUGUAACCUAAAAUGAUUGAUAAGUAGUUUAUUUACAUUAUUUUUAUAAUUAUGUUCUAAUUAUCUUACCAUGUUUACCUGCCUUGUUAAAUUGUACCUUGUCUGAAACUAAGAUUUUGUGUAGAGCUGAUUGUAACAUUAAGGAGAAAAAAAGGGAACCACUGCCCAAUGUCAAUGCCAGUGAUGACUCGGUCAGUUACCAUUGAGGUAGUGCUUGUUCAAGUCCCUCUUUGUAAUUCUUCUCUCCUU
rnacentral:lncRNA from 1 species